rnacentral:rRNA from 1 species
UACGUAGGGGGCUAGCGUUGUCCGGAUUUAUUGGGCGUAAAGAGCUCGUAGGCGGUUUGUCGCGUCGGCCGUGAAAUCUCCACGCUUAACGUGGAGCGUGCGGUCGAUACGGGCAGACUUGAGUUCGGUAGGGGAGACUGGAAUUCCUGGUGUAGCGGUGAAAUGCGCAGAUAUCAGGAGGAACACCGGUGGCGAAGGCGGGUCUCUGGGCCGAUACUGACGCUGAGGUGCGAAAGCGUGGGGAGCAAACAGG